rnacentral:rRNA from 1 species
UACGAGGGGCGCAAGUGUUGUUCGGAAUCACUGGGCGUAAAGGGAGCGUAGGCGGGCUUUUAAGUUAGGUGUUUAAUCCCGGGGCCCAACCCCGGACCGGCACCUAAAACUGGGAGUCUUGAAUAGUGGAGAGGUCAGUGGAAUUGGGGGUGUAGCGGUGGAAUGCGUAGAGAUCCCCAAGAACACCAGUUGCGAAGGCGGCUGACUGGACACAUAUUGACGCUGAGGCUCGAAAGCAUGGGGAGCAAACAGG